UGGGAUCUCAAAGCAAGCAGACCUGUUAUCAUAGUGACAAGACAAGCUAGGCCUGAAGCCUUCCACUUCAGCAGCCUUCUAAACUGUGUCCAGUCUCAGCAACUUGUCCAGUCAUCAGACCCAGUGGUGAUAAAGCCCGGGAAUUCCUAUAGCGCCUCAUGUACGGCUUCUGGAUUCACCUUCAGUGAUUACAGCAUGAACUGGGUUAGACAGAGUCCUGGCGGAGGAUUACAGUGGGUUGCUCGGAUUGAUACCACCAGCACAUACUAUCAUGAUUCUGUUAAAGGACGAUUCACAAUCUCCAGAGAUAACAAUAAUAACAUGUUAUAUCUACAAAUGACCAAAAUGAAGACUGAGGACUCUGCCGUGUAUUACUGUGCAAGAUACACACUGAUAGAAGACAAUGACUGAGUGUAACAAAAACCGAUACACAGCUUCAUCAUUUCCCCACUAGGUGGCAGUAGACGUCAUAUAAUAUUUUGAUGAAACAAUAGUCCUUAAUAUUACAAACAUAG